rfam:Apaloderma vittatum contig53174, whole genome shotgun sequence.
GUGUGCUUAUGAAGAUCACUAACAAAAGAGUCAUUAACUCAGUUGGUGUUCAGAUGCCCUCACAC